AUGGCCGGAGUGGACUGUAUCCUGAAACUCGGAGGGAGCGCCUUGACGCAGAAGGACCAGCUGGAGACGCUGAAGGGGGCGUCGCUGCGGAAGGCGGCGGCCAUUGUCGCUCAGCUCCGCGGGGCCGGAGAGAAGCGCUGCAUUGUCGUGCACGGAGCAGGCUCCUUUGGACAUUUCCAAGCAAAGGAACAUGAUGUAUGCUCAGGAACCUCAAAAGGAUCAGCUGUGAGUGAGAGUUUGAGACGGGGACUGUGCUUGACCAGGCUUUCUGUCACCAAGUUGAACCAUCUGGUGACUGAAGAAUUUGUAAGCUGUGGAAUUCCAGCAGUGGGCAUUUCGCCUUUUGGAACCUGGAAAACAGCAUGCAAGGGUGUCAGCCAGCCUGGCAUUGAUGCAGUGAAAGAUGUUUUAGAAGCAGGUUACGUUCCAGUUUUACACGGUGACUGUGUGCUCGACUCAGAAAGGCACUGCUGCAUCUUAUCUGGAGAUACAAUUGUUGAGGUUCUAGCUAUGAAAUUCUCUCCUAAGCGAGUUAUUUUUCUCACAGAUGUGAGUGGAAUUUAUAGCUGUCCACCCGGCACUGCAGGUGCUAGGCUUGUGGAUUUCAUUACUGUUCGCCCGGAUGGAACUAUGGAUCCAGCCGUACUCACAUCUGUGCGGCCACAUGAUACUACUGGAGGUGUAUCCUUGAAAUUACAAACUGCUGUAAAUAUAGUUUCUCAUAGCCGUGGAGCCAUUCCUGUUCUGAUCUGCAAACUGGACAGUGAAGCAGCAGAGAAGGCUUGCUUAACCGGAGAACUGAAGGAGGAUGAAGGCACAAAGUUUUCUUUCAUAGAAGCAUAAAGACAUAUCUGCA
rnacentral:lncRNA from 1 species